CCUCCUUCUGCGCAUGCCUAGUCUCCUCCUCCGGAGGAGGAGAGGCACACAUACACUUCCGGCUCUCUGUUGUGCUAUCGAGAGAGGAGCAGUUGCAAAAGGCACAAGGAAGCCGUUUUGGAGUGCUAUAAUUAGUUGCAUUUCUCUUUUUGCUGCUGCUGCUGCUGCCACCUCUAUCUUCUUUCCCCUCAAAGCCUCAAUCUUUCCCUUCAGAGUCGGCUGGGAUGCUUCUCCUCCUUCAAGAGGGAAGGAUCACCGUAUCGAGCAAGAAGGAGAGACAUAUUUGUUAUUAUUCCACCAUUGGCCAUCCACAUCAGUGAGCUGAGUUUGAAAUAAUAUAUCUGUGGUUACUGUGAUCCCAGUUCCUGAGCAGAGAAUACAUCUCAGAAAUGAAGAAAAAGUUGAACAGACGACAUCUGUCAUGACUGAGCAGUGGUGUGGAAACACGGUUCCCUGUUCAGCUAUAAGGCAGGCUGGCCAAGUCACUCUGAUUCAGCCUGAUUAGUGUGAAGAUUAAAAAAACUCACCACCCUAAACUCCUUGGAGAAAAGGUGUGAGGGAUAUACUUGUAACAAAUCAAUACCUAUGUCCUGUCUCAGAGUUGUGGGACAUAUUUUGGAUACCUUCUAUCUUCAUUAUUCUUCAUAAAAUCUUCAUAAAAUGUU